AAGACUAUACUUUCAGGAAUCAUUUCUAGAGUUUGUUACUAAAGAAGUUUCUCUGAGUUUGUAGAGUACCAGAAACUAUGAUGAUAUAUGGCAUUCUCUCAUGAGUGUGAAGCGGCUCUUAAUGUUGCUUUUUGGCAACUGCCUUUUGCCAUUGAUGAUCAUUCUUCUCUCUUUCCAGACAGUAGAGAGAGAGGAUGCAGUCUGAAUGGUU
ensembl:snoRNA